rnacentral:rRNA from 1 species
GGUUGCGAUCAUACCAGCACUAAUGCACCGGAUCCCAUCAGAACUUCGCAGUUAAGCGUGCUUGGGCGAGAGUAGUACUAGGAUGGGUGACCCCCUGGGAAGUCCUCGUGUUGCAACCCC